rnacentral:rRNA from 1 species
GAUGAACGCUGGCGGUAUGCUUAACACAUGCAAGUCGAACGGACUCUUCGGAGUUAGUGGCGGGCGGGGGGGGAACGCGUGAGAAUCUGGCUUUGGGGUCGGGACAACCACUGGAAACGGGGGCUAAUAACGGAGGUGCCUGGAGGGAAAAGAGAAAUUGCCUGAAGAUGAGGUCGCGUCUGAUUAGCUAGUUGGUGAGGUAAAGGUUCACCAAGGCAGCGAUCAGUAGCUGGUCUGAGAGGAGGACCAGCCACACUGGGACUGAGACACCGCCCAGACUCCUAAGGGAGGCAGCAGUGGGGAAUUUUCCGCAAUGGGGGAAAGCCUGACGGAGGAAUACCGCGGGAGGGAAGAAGGCUCUUGGGUUGUAAACCUCUUUUCUUAGGGAAGAACAAAAUGACGGUACCUAAGGAAUCAGCAUCGGCUAACUCCGUG